GCGGCAGGCCGGCCGAGGCGGAGCAUGGCGCAGCCAAUGGGAACGCAGCUCUCGGAUUGACCCGCUAGGAUGGCUUCGGCAAACCUCCAUUGACGACCAUCUUGGAGUCGGGCGCCGUGCCCAAUCUGGGAAGGGGCAGGAGAUCUUUCAGCUUUUUUCUUAGUUUCUACCUGGAUUAACCCCUUCAUGGAAAUACAGAAGAAGAAAAAAAAAGGAAAAAAUAAAGGAAAACCAACACAACUAAUCACGGAGAUGAAAUAUAAAACCCCAUGUGAUUGCAACAAACUGAUGCAGAGCUACCAGAAUAGCCAAUAUUAACUGAUUACCUCUAUUCAGCUUUGGUCAAUAAAGUUGCUUACUAUUUGUGAA